GAAAUUUGAUGUCUGCGGUGCCCACGUUCAUCCGCCACCAGAGGAAGGGCAGGAAAUCACGUUUCCAAGCGAUCUGACAGCACCACAGAAUCUGACCAAGCCAUGACAACAUGCCAAGAAUGGACUGAAUCAGAAGACCAAGAAGGUCAGCAAGGCGGUGAGUAUGUGCUUUAUUACUGAAGCCUUUUAUAGUGUUAGUCUAGAAAAAUGUUAUUGUCAUUCUAUGUAACACUAAAAAGGGUAUAUAAUCUAAAUCACUGGUAUGACUGAGUUGCAAAAGAGAAUAAUAAUUGAAGGAGUGUGUAACUGAACCUGUAUCAUUCUAAAAGUCCAAUUUCAGAGUAAAUUAAAAAAAAAAAUUAGUUGUAUAUUUUCUUUUUUUUUCCCCCC
rnacentral:lncRNA from 1 species